rnacentral:piRNA from 1 species
CUGUCUGAGCUGAAGAAUCAAAA